GACGUGGCGCAGUUGGUUAGCGCGCCAGAUUGUGGCUCUGGAGGCCGUGGGUUCGAAUCCCACCGC
rnacentral:tRNA from 1 species